rnacentral:rRNA from 1 species
AUUGAACGCUGGCGGAAUGCUUUACACAUGCAAGUCGAACGGCAGCACGGACUUCGGUCUGGUGGCGAGUGGCGAACGGGUGAGUAAUGUAUCGGAACGUGCCCAGUCGUGGGGGAUAACGUAGUGAAAAUUACGUUAAUACCGCAUACGAUCUAUGGAUGAAAGCGGGGGAUCGCAAGACCUCGCGCGAUUGGAGCGGCCGAUAUCAGAUUAGGUAGUUGGUGGGGUAAAGGCCCACCAAGCCAACGAUCUGUAGCUGGUCUGAGAGGACGACCAGCCACACUGGAACUGAGACACGGUCCAGACUCCUACGGGAGGCAGCAGUGGGGAAUUUUGGACAAUGGGCGAAAGCCUGAUCCAGCCAUUCCGCGUACAGGAUGAAGGCCCUCGGGUUGUAAACCGCUUUUGUACAGAACGAAAAGGUUUCUACUAAUACUAGGAGCUCAUGACGGUACUGUAAGAAUAAGCACCGGCUAACUACGUGCCAGCCGCCGCCGUAA